CCCUCGUCUGCAGAAGAUCUGCUCGAAGACCUCAAGGAGUCGUUCGCCAACAGCCUAUCCUUAUUGGGGGUGGCCGAGUCCGACGAGGUCUCGGAGGUCCCGACCAAGUCCUGUGUCGGGUUCGAGGACUCUGAUGAGGAGAGCACUAGCACCCCGGUCCCGAGGCAAUUAAGAGGAACUUCGAAUACAUGGACAAGAUUGGAUGACCACGAAUUUGUCUAUGAUGGGUACUCAUGGAGGAAAUAUGCUCAAGAAGCGAUUCUCAAGUCGGAGUUCCCAAGGAACUACUACGGAUGCUCUUACAAAUUCGACCAGGGGUGUCAAGCGACCAAGCAAGUCCAGAAGAUAAAGGAUGACCCGCCCAUCUACAGGACCAUAUACCAAGG